ensembl:lncRNA
CAGGGAUUCCCAGAGGAAAGCCAUUCAUCCAGAACCCUGGUUAAACUAAACACUCAGUUCUCAGAGAAGUCACCUAAGAUCUCAGCUCAAGGCUGACGCAUUUGUAAAGAUCUUUUGAAAUAAGGGCGUUUUCUCCUCUUUUCCUCCCCAGACCUCACAUACCAACGCUCAGCUGCUUCUUGCUCCCAAACCUUGCAAUCUCUUGCCUCCUCUCUUCAGAGAAAACGUCCUAAUGAAAGCCCCUGGAUACCCCCAGGAGUGACAGUCACACCAAGCCCGACCUCUGCUUUUCUAGAACCAGUGUUGCCCAAUGUCCAGGGCAAUGAAAUCAAAGCAGGACUCCAACUCCACAGACCAGUUUCCCUUCGCUCCAGUUUUCUUCUCUAUUUACUUUUCUGUCCUGUUGUACAUAUUUGUGUCUGUGACUGUGGGGACUGGACAUGGCAGAGUGUAUGCGUGUUCAUCACGGCCAGAGAUCUCCGUGGCAAAGGUCAGCAGCACCUGACGCUCACACCCGAGGACACCGAGGCAGAGCAGCCUCCAGUGGAUCUUCCCAGCUUUGUUCAGGUGGAAACGAUGUCAGUCACUCUCUACUUCACCGUGUGCUACCUUGAGACCUCACAUCAACUCAGCUCGGGAAGCCUUGCCUUUGCUAACUGCGAGGUUUGUGUC